AUUGAACGCUGGCGGCAUGCCUUACACAUGCAAGUCGAACGGCAGCGCGGACUUCGGUCUGGCGGCGAGUGGCGAACGGGUGAGUAAUGUAUCGGAACGUACCUUUCAGUGGGGGAUAACGUAGCGAAAGUUACGCUAAUACCGCAUAUUCUGUGAGCAGGAAAGCAGGGGAUCGCAAGACCUUGCGCUGAUUGAGCGGCCGAUAUCAGAUUAGCUAGUUGGUGAGGUAAAGGCUCACCAAGGCGACGAUCUGUAGCGGGUCUGAGAGGAUGAUCCGCCACACUGGAACUGAGACACGGUCCAGACUCCUACGGGAGGCAGCAGUGGGGAAUUUUGGACAAUGGGGGCAACCCUGAUCCAGCCAUGCCGCGUGAGUGAAGAAGGCCUUCGGGUUGUAAAGCUCUUUCGGCCGGGAAGAAAUCGUACGGGUUAAUACCCUGUGCGGAUGACGGUACCGGCAUAAGAAGCACCGGCUAACUACGUGCCAGCCGCCGCGGUAA
rnacentral:rRNA from 1 species